AACGAACGCUGGCGGCAGGCUUAACACAUGCAAGUCGAACGCCCCGCAAGGGGAGUGGCAGACGGGUGAGUAACGCGUGGGAACAUACCCUUUUCUACGGAAUAGCUCUGGGAAACUGGAAUUAAUACCGUAUACGCCCUACAGGGGAAAGAUUUAUCGGGGAAGGAUUGGCCCGCGUUGGAUUAGCUAGUUGGUGGGGUAAAGGCCUACCAAGGCGACGAUCCAUAGCUGGUCUGAGAGGAUGAUCAGCCACAUUGGGACUGAGACACGGCCCAAACUCCUACGGGAGGCAGCAGUGGGGAAUAUUGGACAAUGGGCGCAAGCCUGAUCCAGCCAUGCCGCGUGAGUGAUGAAGGCCUUAGGGUUGUAAAGCUCUUUCACCGAUGAAGAUAAUGACGGUAGUCGGAGAAGAAGCCCCGGCUAACUUCGUG
rnacentral:rRNA from 1 species